AUGAGCCACUGGCCAGCUACUUCAAGUCAUUAAAUGACAAACAGCCAAGGUUCAGGAGGCUUGUGGAGGCAUUCUCUGACUCAAUUACAGAGGUGUACCUACUGUUCUUUCAAGCAACUUUUCCAGUCUUCUCCACAUUCAACCUCCUCCUCCAGAGAGAGAAGUCGUCAAUCUUCCUACUACAUGAUGAGAUGAGGGGUUUUAUCCGCAAGCUGCUCUCAAAGUUUCUGAAGCCCGCAGCAUUGCAGCACCGGGAACUGCAUGAAAUAUGCUUUAAGGAGCCAUCCAACAAACUGCCAGGAGAAAAGUUGGUGAUUGGCUUCACUACUCGAGUUACACUCAACAGGCUCCUUGAAGCAGGAGCCAUUACACCGCAGCAAGUGCAGAGGUUCCAGAAGGCAGCAGUGGCGUUUCUGGAAAGGGCUGUGGAGUAUGCCAUCAAGAAACUCCCCAUGAAAGAGCCUCUGAUUAAACAUGCCAUGUUUCUGGAUGUCCAGCAGAGAGCAGAGUGUGGAGUGGAAGAUGCCUUCUACUUUGUCGACAGAUUUCCUGAACUUCUCCCAUACAAUGGACCUGAAGAGCGUGACAAACUUUGUGAAGAGUUUCUGGACUACCAGACCAUGGACAUUGCCAUGCCCGACGACCCAGCAAUGUUUGACUUUGAGAGAUUUUGGGGGAACAUGGCAUCAAUGAAGGACAAGGUGACCGGUAUGAGCAGAUUUGGCAGGCUGUCUUGUAUUGCCAAGUUGGUCUUGGUCAUGCCUCACUCCAAUGCUGAUGCAGAGCGAGUUUUCUCUGUGGUUGGACUAAAUAAGACCAAGACCCGAAACAGUUUGGCUCUUGAGGGAACUCUGUCAUCCAUCAUGACCGUGAAGAUGGCGAGCCUUGAGCCAAACUGUUUUAAGUGGGAGCCCCCUGCCUCCGUCAUCAAGGCAUCAAAAUCUGCCACCAACACCUACAACGUUAGACAUGCUAAAUGAUUGAC
ensembl:lncRNA